GACGAACGCUGGCGGCGUGCCUAACACAUGCAAGUCGAGCGAUGAAACCCUUCGGGGUGGAUUAGCGGCGGACGGGUGAGUAACACGUGGGUAACCUGCCUCAAAGAGGGGAUAGCCUCCCGAAAGGGAGAUUAAUACCGCAUAACAUUAGUUUUUCGCAUGGAGAACUAAUUAAAGGAGUAAUCCGCUUUGAGAUGGACCCGCGGCGCAUUAGCUAGUUGGUGAGGUAAAGGCUCACCAAGGCGACGAUGCGUAGCCGACCUGAGAGGGUGAUCGGCCACAUUGGAACUGAGACACGGUCCAGACUCCUACGGGAGGCAGCAGUGGGGAAUAUUGCACAAUGGGCGAAAGCCUGACGCAGCAACGCCGCGUGAAGGAUGAAAUCCCUCGGGAUGUAAACUUCGCAAAUAUGGGAAGAAAAAAAUGACGGUACCAUAUGUAAGCCCCGGCUAACUCCGUGCCAGCCGCCGCAGUAACAC
rnacentral:rRNA from 1 species